AUUUGAAUAAAAAAAUUAAAAUGCUCUUUUAAGCUUCUGUCUUUGGCUCUUUUCUCUCACGGCUCUCCUCUCCAAUUCUUCCCCAAUUCUGCUCUCUUCUCUUCGUUUUUUAUGCAAAACCCCGACCCGAUCUUUUCCUUUUAAAUAAUGCAAAUGGUAGACAAACAAAAGUUGUGUCUCCCAAUUUCUAUCUUUCUUUCUUUUUCUAAUCUUUAUUUUAUGUUUUUAUUAAAUAAAAUGCCGCCCACUUUUGACUAACAAAUUAUAAUUAUAUUUGUGUGUGUAUAUAUAUAUUAUAGACCAUUCGUCAUCAUAACGGACGAAUAUCAUUUUUUUUAAUUAAAUUGCAUCACUAUCAAGACUGAAAACAAAAGUUAAUUAGGUACGAUUACUUUAUUAGAUUAUGUCCAUGGGCAGUGUGCUUGUAAUCUAAUGGAGAGCUCCAAUUCAAUUCCCGGGGAGCUUUUUUUUUUUUUUUUAAUAAUACAAAGAUGAGAAAUAAGAGUGAAUUUUCCUCCAGCAUUGUUUCUGCGGGAGUUAAUGUAGAUAAACUGUAACAGUGCAGUGUAAAUAGGACACUGAAUUCCCCAUGGUAAUCUUCUUACCGUUGUAUACAUUAAUUCUACAUUAUUCUGUUGCAAAGUAUAUAAUUAACCACAAACUAAUAUGGAAGAGAGAGAAACAAGAAGUUCAAUAGGGCAAAAUUUCUUCUUCCCUUUACUGCUCUCCUUUGCUCAAUCAAGUGGCUUCACUUCCAAUUAUUGAGUUUGAAUUAUUUCAAUUAAAACACACAAAAAAAAAAGUAAUGUACUUUAUAUUAAUGUUAUGGACGAGUAUAAAGGAUGUCACUCAUGGUUAAAGAACAAGGUGUUUGAUGGAAAUGCAAAGAUGCUCGAUGAAAUGUCUUGCCUACCCAACCAGGCCACUUAGCAUUCCAGUCAUUUUCACAAACGUAAUUCUUUCUUUGUCACUUUCGUUUCUUACUUGAAAUUUUUAUCUUCUUAUCACCAGACUCAAUUCGUUCAAUUUUAUUAUAUAUUUUUCCCUUCGUGGAAAGUUAAUAUAUAUAUAUAUAUAUAUAAGGUCUAUAAAGCUAAUUGUGAUGAGUUGCAGAAUCAAAUGGAGAACUUGAAGGUCACAAAAGAUUAUAUUAUUUUAACUUGUAAGCUUUCGUUGCUAUACAAUUAGCUAAGUAUAUCUAGAUAUUAUUUUGAUCUUUUAUAUAAUGGGUUUCACUUCCAGUGAAAUACUUUUUGUUCUAAUUUAACUUAAUUUCUCUUUAUACUUAAAAUAUUAAACACAUUUUUCACUUUCAGAUACGGAAGAGAAAAGAUUUUAACAAGAGAGUAUUUUUGGCUAUGUUCUCCAUGGAAAAAUAAUUAUAGUGAUUAAAAAGACGUAGGAUAAUCUUUAUUUUCCAUUAUAUUAGUAAUAGAUUUCCGAUGGGUAACAGACAAAUAUCAUUUCUGCUUCAAUAAUUGUCCUAUCAUUGUGAGCAUGAUAAAAAAUUCAUUAAUUACAUCUAUGAAAUAACUUUAGCAAAACAAAAUUACUCGUUCUUUUUAAGUAAUAAUACCAUCUCAAAUUUUAUUUCAAUAAUGUGGUAUGUAAUGUGUCACUAAUUAAGUAAUUGAUAGUUCUUGAUAAGAUAUUCAAGUAAAUUAAUUAUGUUAUCUCAGUAUCUAAUUAAUAAAUACCACAUUAUUUGAGAAAAGUUUAAGAUGUAUAACAUUAUUGUACAUACUUAAAUUAAAGGAUCAAGAUUCUUUUCUUGAUUUGAUCAUAGUAAAAAUAACUCCAAUGUUGAUUGGUAAUUGAUAAAUAAAAAUAAUAAUAAAUUAAAUUUUAUUCAUAUACUAUAUAUCACUAAAAAAAAGUAUGAUAGGAGAUUUUUAAAAAUUCAGUAGAGCUCAAAUAAAAAAAAAAAAUCUUAUUUGCAAAUUAAAAUAAUGUGGGUGACAAUUAGAAGGACAAAGCUUCAGUACCCCCCGUGACACCGUACCCCUCUUUUGUCCUUUUUUGAUUGAAUCUGUUGCGUCCUUACUUAUUUACAAUUUAGUUAUAAGUAUAAUGUUAAUUUUAUUUUCCCAUUUUUCUUCACCUCUUCUCCAUACUCAGCCCACUUUUCUCCAUUUAACAUUACUUUUG
rnacentral:lncRNA from 1 species